GUUAGACAUUAGCGUCUUAAGCUUUUCCCCUCCGAGGCAAAAAUUAUAUCCAAGGAAACCGAGUUGAAACUGGACCCCGCUGUACUCCAUUAUACCCGCAAACUCUAUUUCUACUGUUUAAAGAAAAAAAAAAAAAAAGAUUUUUCGCUUCCGAUAUUUUGUCCUCUUUUAUCCGACCAUAGCCUUUUGAAAGCUUUCUCGUCCAACUAUCUUCAAACGUUAUAAGGGAUUGGCCCUUUAAUGGAACCCAUUGUUUGCACUUUGAAGAGUAUCAAAGAUGUUACAAAGCGUUCUAUAAAUGGUACCGGACCCCCACCGAGGGGAUGGAUUCUACGCGAAAGGUUUGUUUUUCUUCUUCUGGUAAAAUCGAUCGAAAAGAAAUUUCAAAUUAAAAAAAGAACUCGACGUAACGAUCAUACUUUGAGAGUUAAUCUUUAAUUCAGAGUGAAAAUUAUUUUAUCUAAAACUUAUUUCGUAAAAUUACUAUCAAAUAUAUUUGCAUCUUUACACGAGCCAUUACUACCAAUAAUCGCAAUAUUAAUAUAAAAAAAGAACUGUGUAUAUAUAAAAUAAUUUUAAUUAGAAGCAAUGAAAAAUUGGAACGAAGAGGAGAUCGUCAUAUUUUAUCAUUUAUCAAAAAAGCUAUAUAUAUAUAUAUCUCACGAAAUACACAGCCUCCAUUAAUUCACGUAUCGAUUCCAUCCCCGCUUCCAUCUCGUUCGACCAUAAAAAUCGAACAAGCAUUAUCGAUUAUUUGAAACGAUCAUUGACGAAGAAGCCACCACCGAAGGAGGAAACGUUGAGAACGUCGACUAUAUUAAACCGGCGAUCCGUUUCGUUCCUUCGAGACGAGAUUGAGACCGAUUUAUCCACGACACGAUUUCGAACCGUAAAUAGCCCCCGUGUUUAAAUGUCGGGGCUAACGAAGUAUCGGUAUCGUAAAUCAAAUUCGGCCUGUAUCUCAUUAUAAUUAACGGAAUUAUCCGCGUUUCGAGCAAUCACCGGACGAAUUAACGUGAUUGUGACGUGCGUCCUCCUGAGAAUUUAAUGAAUUUGAUGAAAAUUCGAACGAGAGAGAACAAAAAAAUAUAUAUAUAUAUUUAAUAAUAUUAUUUAUUAAUAUACUAUUAUAUAUUAUUAAUAUUAAUUAAAUAUAUAUAUAUUUCAGAGAUUGAACAACGAAUAUUCGAAUUGCAAAGCAGAUAAAUGACCGGGUUAAAUGUUUUCAAUUUUGUUUAAUUAGGUUAGGUUAGGUUAGGAAAUGUUUGGCGCGAGUGAACGUUGUCCAAAAUCAUGCGACAGAUUAAUAAUAUAAUUACGAUGUGAAAGUAUUUAACGAAAAAUCGAAGGAGGAAGAAAAAAUAUAUUUGAAAAUGGAAAACGAGUCUCAAUUUAUAAAAUAGAAUAAAUUAACCACGAUUUGGAUUCGAUAAAUAUUUUCAAGUUUGUUUAAUUAAAUUAGGUUAGGAAAUGGAAAUGUUUGAUGGAACAACGAUGUGUAUCUUGCUCAUUUGACGAAAAAUCGAACGAGAGAGGAAGAAAAAAUAUAUUUGAGAAUGGAAAACGAAUUUCGAAUUGUAAAUAAAUUAAAUACGGGAUAAAUGUAAUUGGAUUUGUUGGAUGUUUCCAAAUAUUUGUCGCGAAUGAAACACGGUUGAGUUUUCGUUCGUUUGGUGGAAUUGGAUUAAACUCUUUUGGAAAAAGUUUUCAGUUAACGUGGAAUUAAAGAAGAAAAUAUACGGUAGAUAUUAUAUCUUAAUGAUAAAGGAGCAAGAAAAUGUAUGGUAAUGUAUGGCAAAAUGGAUGUGGUAAGAACUUUACAAGAAUUGGUCUUGAGAAAGGAUGAUUCAGACAGACUCCUUCCCGGACAUUGCAUCAGCAUUUUUUCAAUAAUGUGAAACAUUACUUAAAUGGAAAAAAAAACGAAUGAUGACAACGCCAAAAGUAUCCUGUAUAAUUUCAUACGAAAAUGUGAUUUCGUUUAACCUUUCAUAAAUAAAUCCGAAGAAGUUUCUUCUUGCUCGCUUCAAUUAUCGAUGGAAAAAAUAAAAGGGUGAAUAAUUAGUUAGAUAAUUUUAAACAAGUUUCUUUUUUUCUUUUAAUAUUAAAAAUGAAGAGAACCGGUAUUAACAAAUAGAUAACUAUGAUGCAACGAGAAAAUAUAGGUUAGUAAUUUUUCUAGAUAUCAAUAGUCACACAAAGACCAGUCUUUAUAUUAUAAAAUACUACGCAUAAAGAGGCGUAGUCUCUCGUCUUUAACCUUGCAUUCCUUCAGUUCAAAGAGAUAUAUCUUUGUUUUCGAAGAAGAUUUUAUCAGAGCAGAUUUUUCAACUUGAAAAACGUCGUUUUCCAUACUCAAAGUACAUUCACUCAUUCGUAUAAAAAAGUUUCGAUCGAUCGAAAUGUUAUUCCACCUCAAUUUCAUAUCUUUCUUUUCUUUCCUUUUCUCUCAAAUUUUUAACUUCCUCCAACCGACUACAAAAACUAGACCAAAAUAUCAACUUCUCCAAAUCAUUUCUCUUCACCCAAUUACGAAGCGAAAUUAAAUAAUAAUAAUAAUAAAAUCAAUUUUCUCUCUCUGUCUCCCUUUCCCUCUCCAUUCAAAACUAUUUGAUCCUCGUUUCAAGGAUCCUCACCCUCCAAUCCUUGCUCUCCCGCAUUAAAUCGUCCUUCCCGCGUUAAAUCGAGCAUAUCCGGCCGGUUUACGGACAUUUUACGAAUUUUAAAAUCCGACAGAAUCGAGCGAGAAAGGGAAUUCGUCCUCUCGAUUCGAUCUCUCUUAAUUCUUCCCUCCCCUCGUGUAGCACCCCUUCGCCAAUAUCAGCAUCGAAGCAUGAAUUUCCCAGCUGGAAACUGGCCCGUGGUAUUCCGUGGACAUUAAAGUCCCGUAAUUGCUGCAUCGCUGCGAGGCGAAACGUGGGAGGAGAUUUCGUGCCGAAUCGGCCUCCUCCGCUCUCACCCCCUCGUUUCCAUGGAGGCGGCCGUUCCACGGUGGAUGCAGUUGCACAGAACUCGGACCUGUUAACAAAUUAGCCGAGGAAUUUGUUGAUCGGUGGCAGCGCGCGGCGGUAACGUAGCGUAUGAUUAAACCACCGAUCGAAAUUACGCGAGGCCCAUUAAUAUUCCGUAAUAAGUGUGAUUAACUCGGUUGGCCCGCGUUCGCAUAAAUCACGUUUGCGUUCAGCUUAGCUAAGCCGCGAAAUAUAUACAGAUUCGGCGGAGGGUGAAACGGCGGCAAAUUCAAAAUGGGCGGGAUUCUCUUUUUUUAAAGAGGAGAGAAAUUGGAAACGAGGAGAGAGAGAGAGAGGAUUCGCAGAAUUUACAUUAUUUUUCCAUUGCUAAUUGUGCAGGAUCUUUCGUUAAAUACACGGGUAAUUUUAAAUGCAAAUGUUCCCGCCGGAAGUAUCAAUCGUGUCCGUGCAAUAACGCGCAACGUGAGUGUGCAAAUGGUGAGUUUACAGUUUCGUUCUGGUUCGGGAAAUGAGCGGUAAAAUUUGUUAUCAUAUAUAUAUAUAGUGAGAAUGGUUAUAAUUUGUCUAAAUUCAAAAAGCAAAAAAGAAAGAGGCUUCUAGAGAUAAAAAUGUGAGCGUUGCCUUCUCUGUAUCCUUGCGGCGGAGAGUGUACAACGAUUAAUGUAGGCAACGAGAUGGAAAAAUUGCCGUUCUUCCAUUUUUCUUUUUUUUUUUUUCUCGUUUAUUCCGAUUUGAAAUUUGCCGCGGCGAUGCGUCUCGCCGCCACUCGCCAGUCCUCGCAUCGAUCGAUCGUCUCGAAAACUGGGAGGAUUCUCGGGGCGGAGAAGCAAGCAUUUCACGGUGUUUCAUCGUGUUUUGGCCGCCGGUUUCGGCCUCGCUUACUAAAUUUAGUUCGUUGUCCGAAGCCACCAUCUUGGAAUAAUCCUCUUUCGGCGUUUAAGCUAUUUCGAAAGCUCUUUAAAGCUCGGGCAAACGCUUCUUCAUAUUUUCCGCCGCGACGACGUACUCCACCGCGACUUCUAAACCACCCCGUCGUUCCUCUCAAGGAUAUCUGAUCUUUCGUAAAAUCGAGCGUCUUCGUUUUGACGAUUUAUUGUCAUUCUUAAUACGAAAUUGUAUAAUCGAAGAUACGUCGCUCUUUUAUCUAAGAAGAAUAAGAGUUUGAUGUAAUAAUUUAUAAAAAUUUAUAAAGAAAAAAGAAAUGUAGAUAAUUAUUUUAUCGAAAAAUAAAGGCUCCAGUGCUUGGGCACAAUUUUGCACGACUAAUUAUUUAAGAAAUUUCCGCGAACAAUUAGAUUGACGAAAUUUUGGCUCGAAAUCCAUAGGACAAAUUGAGCCCAACGUUUGUUAACCCGUGAUCUCCAUCGUGUUUCGAAUUCGAUAUUCAAUAUUUACGGCAAAGUGUGUUAUACGGUUCGUGCGAUUGGUCUCUUAAUCGCGUUGACUCACGAUAUCCGCGAUAUUCCCCGAAUUUCAUACCUUCCUAACGCGUCAUUCGAUCUUCCUCGAGCCACUGCUAAGAGAAAAAAAAGGAGGAACAAAGUUUAUCUAGAGUACAUACGGGCGAUAAGUUGUCAACGUGUUUCUUAAGCGCAUUUCGCGCUGUGCAAAAGAAGUGCGAUAAAGUUAUAAAAUAAAAAUUGAACGAUUAUAUGGGACGAUCUAUUCAUUCCCAGAUAGCAGAUUUAAAUAACGAUGUAUAUUUAUUUUGACUCUUUCCUCUUUCAUUCGCCAUCACGCUCGAUAAAAUACGAAGGGAAUUGGAUGGAAAAUCCUAAAUUUCAAUUUCAUGCUCAAACGUGCUUAUAGAUGCACGCUUUCCCUUAUCUAAUCUUUCUUUUGUUUACCAUAUUUCCUUCCGCCUUUUCGCCAUUAAACUAUUGAAUUCUCUAAGUAUUCUCCUUUUUCGUUCGACUUUUACUCCGUUCAGAUAACAGGUACACCAUCAUCCGGAUAAUCCGUUAAUUUCGGUGGAACGCCGGCAUUCCCUGACACCGGGGAUCCACCCCGAAAAUAACCGCGAGGUUGUUGCACCGCUCGUAAUACGCGACGACUGUGCCGCGCAUUCGAGUCUCCAAAAAACGAAUGGUAGACGAAUGCCGCCGCUCGAAUUUCAUCGUUACCAUGCCUCCGCCACGGAUGAUAGUCCGCGGGGAUAUUGGAUGGCGAGAAGCGGCCUAUCCGCCCCCUCCAACUCUCUCCAGGGGUUGAAACAAGGGUUGGCCUGUGCACGCGUUCGAGGGACGUUCGAAUCGACGUGUUUUACGAGCUGGUAAUUUUCGUGUAUGAGAAUCUAAUCCAUCGCUGGGAUGAAAUAUCGAGUUUCAGAUUACGCUCGAAUUUUGGGGCGUGUGUGUGAGGGAAUAGUAAAAUAUAUCCUUCUUUCGAGCCACUCGAUCGAGAGUUUCAAUCAUUUCUGAAUUUGUUUUAAUUACGAAUGUGUUGUAAUUUUUCGUAUGUUAUAUAAUAUCGUUGAAUUAUUAUUCAAAGUCAUCGUGUGCGAAGAAAAAUAAAGAUUUGAAAAAUUGUAUUCAUCGGUGAAGGCUUUGAAUUAUGAAAUUUUCUAUCCGAGUUUCAAGUUUAAUUAUAAGUUUCGAAGGUACGAAAGAAAAUGAAAUAUCCGAAUUUUUUUUUCGACUAAUACGUCAUCCAUCCACGAAACGUUCCGGUUGUUGUUAAAUCCGGGCGAAACGAAAUCCAGGGAAUGAUAUUCAGGCCCGAACGUCGCGAAACGAUUGAUUAAUAGACCGUUUUCCGCGGACAGGGGGAUGAUCCUGAUUUCCCGCGAUUCCCGCCGCGAAAUACCCGGAAAAUCCGCAUUUCGGUAUUAGGCACGAUCCGCCGUGAAAUCGCGUAUCCGAUAACCGCAAACCGCGAUAACCAUCCCGUGUCUCGUGUCUCACACGUGUUUCUCCGCGUACACUCCUCUCCAUAAUUACACGGUGAUGGGGUAAAAUUUAAUAAUAGCUGAAUGAAACUUAUCUCGAUAAUUUAUUCGAAAUAAUAAUAAUAAUAAUAAUAAGGGGAAAUAAUCGUAGCGGCGCGUGAUUAUGUUAAAAUCAAUUAUAAUUCGUAAUAAAUGUUAUUACGCAUCAUUUCGAUGAGUAAUUAGUCAAAGUAACUUUAUUCGAAAUUUUUAAUUAAUUUUCAACGGGUUAAUGCUUCCACUCUGACGGACAAAUUUAACUCUAACAUUUAUUCGAGAUUAUUUAUACAAAUUUUAUUCAAAAUGUUGUAGCGAAAUAAUUUUAAACGAUUCAAUUUAAAAUUUCUAUUCUUUCUGCUAUACUUGAUCACGAGGAUUAAUUGAUAUAGAAUUAUAAUAUAUUCUAUGGGAUUAUUUUUUAGAGAAUUGUAAAUUCUAAUUUUUCUAUAUAUUUAUACCGAUAAACGUGUCUUAUAACCUAAUGAAAUAAGCCUCGACCUCUUUUCCAAUCUCACUCACGAGUCUACUUAUGAACAAGAGUGUACACGCGUGAUACCUUCGGUUGCUACAUUUCCCUGCCUUCCUUUCCUCUCUCCCUCUCUUCCACCCUUUUUCUUCCACUCCUUUUUUUUUUUCCUCCUCUCGACGACGUAUAGAUUGCCUCAGACAUCCUGUGCCGUUUUGUUCGUCACAUUAUGGCCGCGCCGCUAUCGAGUUUCCCCGAGUGGUAUUCUCGGGGACGAUUUUCAACCCCGUUCCUUGAUCAGAGGCAGAGAGUCGGGUGAAUCGAUACGAUGCCGCACCACCGGUCGACGGUCCUGCGUCGAUAUCGUUUCGCGAAAUUGUUGGCCGCGAUAAGGGCGAGCAUUGGCCGAUGAAACGACGAAGGGGGGUCGUUGCAGGAGCUCGAUCCGCGAUCCUAACUUCUCUUCGAUUUUAAUGGAACUCCUGUUUCGAUAUACGUGAUAAUUCAUUAACUCGAUGUUGAUUUAUAUAACCGAGGUUUGAAAGGAAACUUGAACGAAAUUGUGCUGGAUGGUUCGAGAUGUUGGUCUUCUUUUUCCAUGAAAUUUCAGGAGAGGAGUGUAUUGAAUUUAUCUCGAAUUGAAUUACCAUUCACUAUUAGGAAUAUAUAUAUAUAUAUAUAGUUUUAAUGGAUAUUUUGGAAAGAAAAUUGUGAGAUCGAUGGAAUUGUAUAUUAAAUCGUCCUUUUUAUUUCAAAUAUAAAAAAAAUCUAAUUCGAGUCGAUGUAAUCGUUUGAGAGAAUGUAAUCGUUCAGGAGAAGAUUGUAUAGUGUAUUGAAUUUAUCUCGAAUUGAAUUACCAUUCACUACUAGGAAUAUAUAUAUAGUUUUAACGGAUAUUUUGGAAAGAAAAUUGUGAGAUCGAUGGAAUUGUAUAUUAAAUCGUCCUUUUUAUUUCAAAUAUAAAAAAAAGAAAUCUAAUUCGAGUCGGUGUAAUCGUUUGAGAGAAUUUAAUCGUUCAGGAGAGGAUUAUAUAGUGUAUUGAAUUACCAUUCACUAUUAGGAGUAUAUAUAUAUAGUUUUAAUGGAUAUUUUGGAAAGAAAAUUGUGAGAUCGAUGGAAUUGUAUAUUAAAUCAUCCUUUUUAUUUCAAAUAUAAAAAAAUACAUCUAAUGAGUCGGUGUAAUCGUUUGAACUUGAAAUAAAAAUAGAAAAAGGAAAAAAAGUUAUUUAUUAUUAUUGCAAAGUGAACUUUAAUCGCGAGACUCAUCUUCUCCCCCUAUUAAUUUUUCUCAUCGUUAACAACAUCCUUUAUGGCACACUACCAUCUCUAAGCCCUAUUGUCGCAAUUAGGCAGAGUUCGAUCACCCCCGCGUAAUUUCUUGCUCGGUUCCGGAUUCCAUCGCGCCUCGUUAAUCCGAAAUCCAUUAGUUCGAGCUACCACUUAACGAAGCCGCGGUUAAUGAAUUUUCACCGGCUAAGGCAAUUAUUAGCGCGAUUCCCCUUUGUCGAAUCCUCGUCCAUUCGUAAUUUCGAGAAUGAAACGUCGCUCGACACCCUGUCACGAGUUCAUCUUUCGCGGUUCGAACGGUUAGUUCGUGAAGAAAGAACAGGAAGAGAGGGGAAGAUGCCGGUUCAUUUGUCUCGCGACGAUGGAGAAAGUGAGAACGAUGGAAAUUCGUUGGAAAUCACGGUUUGCGCCGCUUGGAAUAGCAUUCAUUGAAUAAUAGUACGAAUUUAUUCAUAAAAAUCGGCACUGGAAGCGAAAAAAACGAAUCGCGUAUAACUGACGAAUUUUUGAGAAAAAAUUGGCCCGAGAAUUCAAAGGAAUCGUUUCAACCAAAGAUAUCCUCGAAGACUUGAAAUUAAACGUUAAUAGAAACUGUUAAAUCCGAUAGAAACGAGUUAAUUGUACACUCGUGUCUUUAACUCGAAUAAUUACGGAGGCGGAGAAGUUGGAUUUUUUCAUACGUUUUCAGAAACGUUUGAAAGUUUAAUUAGUUUGCUGUUAUCUGUCGGCCGCUCCCUCGAUACGUUGGUCGAUUCGAGUUCGACUCGAUUAUCCGCGCUUCGAGCAGAUGAUAACCUUGAAGAGUUUCGUAGAGUGAGUUGAUUGGUCGAGCGGAGGGGGAAGAAGAAGAAAUCGGGGUGAAACACGGGGAGGCGAAUAAUGAAACGUGACAGCGGGAUAUUAAAGUGAUUCUCCCGAUUUUCGCGGUGGAAAACGUCGGCUCGAAUAAAUCAUCGAUGACGUAACGAGAGCGAGAAGAAAAUUCCCGGGAAAUGUAAAAUGAGCGGGCUUUAGACGCUCCAUUAUAUUGCAAAUUCAUAUCGGAAAUUCGAGAUUAUCCUAUUAAUAUCCCCAUUUGUUUUAAUAUAUUUUCAAGCGUAAUCCCUUUAUCUCGUUUAUCAUUUUUAACUCAUCCUCGUGUUUGCGAUAUUUUUCAUCGUAUUUUUCACGGGUGAUCGAUAUUUGUGCAAAAAAAAAAAAAAAGGAAAAAUAUUAAAACAUGUUUGAUUUAUAUAAUAUACGAUGUGUAAAUUGCAAGUAAAUAUUGAGUUACAAUAUUUAAAAUUAAUAACAAUUAUUUAAAAGUAAAACGAGCCGUCAAUUGGAUCGUUUCGAAAUAAUAAGACGAGAAUUAAGGUUGGAAAAAAUAUACAUAUAAUAUUUUCUUGUUCAUCCUCGAUUUCGCAACGCCCUUUCGCCCCGUUUCACCAUCCAUUAAAACCUCUAACGAACCAGCGGCGAGCAAUCAAACGACCCGCGAAUCCUCUCGGGAACGUGCACGCUCGCGUUUCGUUUUUUUCUUCUUUUUUUUUUUUUUUCCCUCUCCCCCAAACGAGACAAACACGUUGGAAUUUCGGUACUCGAAUCACGGUACUCGUAGAUUGCGGUUCUACGCGGACGAUCGGCCAUUAAAUCGGCGAGGGUACCAUCCACUUCCUCCCCGGAUAACUCCAUGUCGUCUCCAUAAGUCUCUGGACACGUGCCAGACGUUUCGUAAAAAACGUCUAUGGAGAUAGAUUCUCCAAUACGAUUUUAUUUUAACGGAUAAAACGUUAAAAAAAUAAAGAUUGAUUAUUAGUGAACAUUAGCGAAUUAUUGGAUUAAGGGAAAAUAUUUUCAUCUUUUCCGAUCUUCUUCAAUUUAUGUUAUUACAGUUUCUCGUGAAAGAUGAUAUUAUAAUUUGAAUUACACAGGUAUAGAGUGUUAAGUGAAUUGUCAAAUGGAAAAAGCGAGUCAAUUUUUAUAUCUUUAGGAAGAUAAGAAAUAAAAAUUGACAAUUGAUCUACAAAAUGUAUUAUAAGUUCGUUUUUUGAGAUAAAAUUUACACAUUUAUAAAGGAAGAAUGUAAUUAAAUAAAAAGGGAAAAGCAACAUUUUCCUGCAAUAACUUUUGUUAACGAGUUAUUAAUAAAAGAUUAAUAUGUGACGCUGGCCAGAAAAAGAAUAUAGAAUUCCCUCUUUUAUCUGAUUAUCCAAUUUUAACGAAAGUUUUUGCAGGAAAAUAUUGCUCGAAAUUACCUCAAGAAUAGUUAAUCGAUAACCCAGUAAUGAAUUACAUUAUCUCGAUUGUAAUAGUUAAUUUAAAUAAAAUAAUCCUUGAAUUUAAAAUACAAAA